AACGAACGCUGGCGGCAGGCCUAACACAUGCAAGUCGAACGAAGUCUUCGGACUUAGUGGCGGACGGGUGAGUAACACGUGGGAACGUGCCUUCUGGUACGGAACAACAGCUGGAAACGGCUGCUAAUACCGUAUGAUGUCUUCGGACCAAAGAUUUAUCGCCAGAAGAUCGGCCCGCGUUGGAUUAGGUAGUUGGUGGGGUAACGGCCUACCAAGCCUACGAUCCAUAGCUGGUCUUAGAGGAUGAUCAGCCACACUGGGACUGAGACACGGCCCAGACUCCUACGGGAGGCAGCAGUGGGGAAUCUUAGACAAUGGGGGCAACCCUGAUCUAGCCAUGCCGCGUGAUCGAUGACGGCCCUAGGGUUGUAAAGAUCUUUCGACGGGGACGAUAAUGACGGUACCCGUAGAAGAAGCUCCGGCUAACUUCG
rnacentral:rRNA from 1 species